UAAGGUUACUUGUUUUAUAGUUUUAUGAAAUGACCCCUUGAUUCAGGCUUUUGAUACAUUAAGAUUUUAUAACGCACGAUAUGUGCAAGGAGGUUUCAUAUUAUGAAACAAGGUACUGUUAAAUGGUUCAACGCUGAUAAAGGUUACGGUUUUAUCACUACUGAAGACGGUGACGUAUUCGUUCACUUCUCAGCUAUCAACAAAGAAGGUUUCAAGACUCUAGAAGAAGGCGAAAAGGUUACAUUGGACGUUGAAGACGGCGACCGUGGACCACAAGCUGCUAACGUUACUCCUGCAUAAGGAUAACCUCUUAGUUAACUUUUAGUUUAAAAAGAGAUCAAAACACCCGAGAUUUUCUCGGGUGUUUUUUA
rnacentral:sRNA from 1 species